rnacentral:rRNA from 1 species
CAUGCAUGUCUAUGUUCAAAUAACCUAUAACGGUGAAACCGCGAACGGCUCAUUAUAACAGCUACAAUGUACUUGAUCUUGAUUGUCCUACGUGGAUAACUGUGGUAAUUCUAGAGCUAAUACAUGCACCAAAGCUCCGACUUUUGGACGAGCGCAUCUAUUAGAUUAAAACCAAUCGGGCUUCAACCCGUCAUUUGGUGACUCUGAAUAGCUAUGGCUGAUCGCAUGGUCUUGUACCGGCGACGUAUCUAUCAAGUGUCUGCCUUAUCAACUUUCGAUGGUAGUUUAUGUGCCUACCAUGGUUGUAACGGGUAACGGAGAAUAAGGGUUCGACUCCGGAGAGGGAGCCUGAGAAACGGCUACCACAUCCAAGGAAGGCAGCAGGCGCGCAAAUUACCCACUCUCGGCAUGAGGAGGUAGUGACGAAAAAUAACGAGACCGUUCUCUUUGAGGCCGGUUAUCGGAAUGGGUACAAUUUAAACCCGUUAACGAGGAUCUAUGAGAGGGCAAGUCUGGUGCCAGCAGCCGCGGUAAUUCCAGCUC